GACGAACGCUGGCGGCGUGCUUAACACAUGCAAGUCGAACGGAGUGGCGAACGGGUGAGUAACACGUGGGUGACCUGCCCUGCACUUCGGGAUAAGCCUGGGGAACUGGGUCUAAUACCGGAUAGUGUGGGAGGGGCCGGCGGCCUAUGAGCUUGUUGGGGGGGUAGUGGCCGACAAAGGGGGCGACGGGGAGCCGGCCUGAGAGGGUGGACGGCCACAAGGGGACUGCGACACGGACCAGACUCCUACGGGAGGCAGCGGUGGGGAAUAUUGCGCAAUGGGCGGAAGCCUGAUGCGUCGACGCCGCGUGGGGGAUGACGGCCUUCGGGUUGUAAACUCCUUUCACCAUCUACGCGGUAGAUGGAGAAGAAGCACCGGCUAACUACGUGCCAGCAGCCGCGGUAAUUC
rnacentral:rRNA from 1 species